CCCCUCUCAGGAUCGCACCUGGACAGUUUCCAGUCCUCUACCAGUCACGAUUACAGGAGGAAGAGUCAAGAAGAGGCCUACCCAUUCCAUUUCUAGCUUGGCCAGUGGCUAGCAAGUGGAAGGCAAUCUGUUACAAGU